rnacentral:rRNA from 1 species
UUUAAAUGGCCGCAGUAUACUAACUGUGCAAAGGUAGCAUAAUCAUUAGUCUUUUAAUUGAAGGCUGGUAUGAAUGGUUGGACGAGAUAUUAACUGUUUCAUAAAAAUUUAUAUUAGAAUUUUAUUUUUUAGUCAAAAAGCUAAAAUUUAUUUAAAAGACGAGAAGACCCUAUAAAUCUUUAUAUUUAAAUUAUUAUAAUUUUAUAGAUUUUUUUUGUUAUAAUAAUUAAUAAUAUUUUAUUGGGGUGAUAUUAAAAUUUAAUAAACUUUUAAUUUUUAUACCAUUAAUUUAUGAAUAAUUGAUCCGUUAUUAGCGAUUAAAAAAUCAAGUUACUUUAGGGAUAACAGCGUAAUUUUUUUGGAGAGUUCAUAUCGAUAAAAAAGAUUGCGACCUCGAUGUUGGAUUAAGAUAUAAUUUUAGGUGUAGCCGCUUAAAUUUUAAGUCUGUUCGACUUUUAA